rnacentral:rRNA from 1 species
GACGAACGCUGGCGGCGUGCUUAGCACAUGCAAGUCGAACGGAAAGGCCCUGCUUUUGUGGGGUGCUCGAGUGGCGAACGGGUGAGUAACACGUGAGUAACCUGCCCUUGACUUUGGGAUAACUUCAGGAAACUGGGGCUAAUACCGGAUAGGAGCUCCUGCUGCAUGGUGGGGGUUGGAUAGUUUCGGCGGUUGGGGAUGGACUCGCGGGUUAUCAGCUUGUUGGUUGGGUGGUGGAUUACCAAGGACUGGAAGGCUAGCCGGCUGACAGGGCAGCCGGCCACAUUGGGACUGAGAUACGGCCCAGACUCCUACGGGAGGCAGAAGUGGGGAAGAUUGCACAAUGGGCGGAAGCCUGAUGCAGCACCGCCGCGUGCGGGAUGACGGCCUUCGGGUUGUAAACCGCUUUCGCCUGUGACGAAGCGUGAGUGACGGUAAUGGGUAAAGAAGCACCGGCUAACUACGUG